rnacentral:rRNA from 1 species
UACAGAGGGUGCAAACGUUGCUCGGAAUCAUUGGGCGUAAAGCGCACGUAGGCGGCCUAGCAAGUAGGGAGUGAAAGCCCUCGGCUUAACCGAGGAAGUGCUUUCUAAACUACUAGGCUUGAAUACUGGAGAGGGUCGCGGAAUUCCCGGUGUAGCGGUGAAAUGCGCAGAUAUCGGGAGGAACACCAAUGGCGAAGGCAGCUCGCUGGGACGUUACUGACGCUGAGACGCGAAAGCGUGGGGAGCAAACAGG